rnacentral:RNase_P_RNA from 1 species
GCGGGUGGCUGGAUGACCGCGGGAACUUCCCGAGGAAAGUCCGGACUCCACGAGGCAACGGUGCCGGGUAACGCCCGGCCGGGGAAACCCGAGGGAAAGCGCCACAGAGAACAGACCGCCCCGCAAGGGGUAAGGGUGAAACGGUGGGGUAAGAGCCCACCGCGCCCCUGGCAACAGGGGCGGCACGGCAAGCCCCACCGGGAGCAAUGCCAAAUAGGGGCCCCGCGCGGCGCGUCCGCAGGGCGGCUUCGGCCCAGGGGCCCGGGUUGGCAGCAUGAGCGGUACGGCAACGUGCCGCCCAGAUGAAUGGUCAUCCAGGGGGUCGCCCCCGGACAGAAUCCGGCUUACAGGCUGCCCGCGCGA